UGAAAUUGAAUUGAUCGAUUUUGAAUUUGUGAUGAUUACUUAGAGCAACGCUUUCUAGUUAGGGUUUAACUUUGUAUAUGAUUUAUAAUUUUUGUUGGGUUACGCGUUAGAACCCUUGCGAAUCGUGGAUUGAUAAAACUUAGAGCAACGCUUUCUAAUUUAGGGUUUAUCUUUGUUCGAUUGAAAUCAGGUUUAAUUUAUAGAACCAAUUAUGUUAUCGGGAAGAUUGGUGAAGAUCGGUCAUGGUUUUUAGUUGCAGGAACAAUGAUCGUGUUUGCUAUUUUGCAGAUCUUCUUUUGGAGAGUUCAAUUGUCAUGGAUGUGUACCUAAUCGAGGUUCUGUGAAUCGAACUAUUUUCGUAUGCUCUCUGACAUAUAUGAACGUUACAGGUAAAAGUUGUAUCUACAUCUUCUGAAGGUAUCUGAUUUCUAUAUUCAUCUCGUUAGCUAAAGUGACAUGAUUUUAGUGUAAUUAUCUGCACAUACCGAUCCAAAGUAUGUGAUGGAAGGAGUCAAGCACAGUGCCUGUGAUUAUCUGCUUAAACCAAUUCGGAUUGAGGAGUUCAAGAACAUCUCUCUCUGAACUGACUACAUAAGGCAGAACAGUGUAGCGGCUUGAGUUAAGUGUUUGUAGGUACUAGAUCGACAUUUAGGGAAUUAUAUCAACCAAAACUGUGGUUUAUCUUACACUCUGAUCUUCUCUGCAAGAGUUCAUUCUCCAUGGCUGUGCACAGAUAAUUGAACUUAAAUUGCAGGUAUUUUGCAGCAGAGGCCAAAGAUUCUCCCGGAUUAGUACACUCCAACUAUUGAUGGGUGAAAUCAAGAGAAGGGGAUCUUUGAACUGCAAACGAUUCUGUAGUCAGAAAACAAAGAAGGGCCCAAGUAAAGUACUUUCUCUCAUUUCUCAGAUCUCUAACUUCAUACAUAAUUAGUCCCACGGAAACUACAAGAACACUAAAACACCACGAAACUAAAUACAAUACAAACUUCAAACACAUACACUUCACGUAGAGAACAUUAUUCAAAUAGGCAAAAGAAAACAACACACGUAUACCAACUAGACAAACAAAAAACACCAAAAUCCAACAGUCAUAACAAUAACUUCACAUACCUCAAACACAAAAACCUCACGUGUAGAGAACAGAAUUUCAAAUAGGCAAAACAAAAAGACGCAAACACAACACUCAAAACAAAACCUUCACGAUCAGAAAAACAAAAUUUGUAGAAUUGUGAUGUCAAGGUUCAUAUUUCUCCUUCCAAAGCAUUAGUGCAAAACAAGCCUACAGCGAAAGGAAUAUAGAGUGUCAGGAUAUUAGUUUUUGCUAUUGACGGUGAGGGGAGACUUAGCUGCUCUAAAGGGUAUCUCCCUGAACUGGCUGCAGCAGUGUUUGUCUGCAGCCAGGAGCACAUAUAAUGCUUUGCUGGUCUUGGAGUGCUGAUUUCUAUUAUCUUCUGAAGGAACUGGUUUGGCUUUUGGCCAGUGCACUCUUUUUCUUGGGUUCGAAUACGAUGAUAACAUGUUUUCAGAUAUAAUACUUCACACACACGGUAUGUUUUUACAUAUAACAUGUUUUGUUUGAACAACUGAGAAAUUUCUUUCAUGUAGAUUCAAGAGAGAGCUGCGGUUUUUAAAAAAGUUCGUUAGGGAUUUUUGCCACGUGAUGUGAAUCCUGCAUUGUACCCUUCUAAGACAUUUAUAUUUUGUAUAAUUUUCUUGUUCUAGGUCGUCAUUAUGAUGGUGAGAUUGUUCGAAACUUCAUGUUUCAAUAUUUGGUUCAAAGUUUUUAUUUUCUUAUAUUACUUUGGCAGAAGCUCAUACAAAUAAAGAUGAGCAUAAACUUGUUGCAAAAAUGGUGUACACAAGGCCAGAACAAUGUAGCAGCUUGAGUAUAGAUUUGUAAUUAUUAUUCUCUGUUACAUUUUUUCUCUAUCCUGGGAAACUAAUAGCAAUGCUCCUCAACUUUGCAACACUAUCUCUUUGGUCAAUGCAGGGAUUUAUCUAUGAUCUUCUUUGCAAGAGUUUAUUCUCUAUGAUCUUCCCAAACUGUGAUCUUCUUUGCAAGAGUUUAUUCUCUAUGGUUGUGCACCAGAUUAAUAUGGUUGUCUAUCUUAUACGUGAUUCGUUUUACCUUUUCAAUUACUGGUUCAGUUAUCCUUAUGCUGAUCUCGUAUCUAAGAUUUUGCAGAUAAUUGAACUUAAAUUGCUUAAAUGAUUGCAGCAGCGGCCAAAACUUCUCUCGCAAUUCAGGAACUAUUGCUGGGUGAAAUAUAGAGAAGAGGAUAUUUGAACUGCAAACGACUCUGUUGUCAGAAAACAAAGAAGGGCUCAAAAUUGUAGUGUUUGGAAACAAAGCAUUGCAGAUGACUGGCUAUAAGGAAGCAUACAAUAAAUGGAAUAUAUGAGUGUCAGAACAUUAGGUUUUGCUAUUGGCGGUAAGGAGAGACUUAGCCGCUUGAAUGGGUAUCUCUCUAAAGUGGCUGCAACAUCGUUUGUCUGCAGGGGUGGUGUCAGAAGACUUCACUUGUUGGAGAUUUUCAAUAGAGAUGGAAUGGGGAUUAUGGUAGCAAUGAACCCGAGAGGCGGAUAAAUUUGGAACUUAAGUUCCGUAACUGGUGAGAAGAAAGGCAAGGACUUAUAAUAACUUGUGGGGCUUUGUUCCCUUUCUUUGAAAAAAAAUGUGGAGAAGUUGUAGUACUCGUAAUUCCGUCAGAUUGUAGUGUACAAUGUCAGGAAGUUUUGCAGACUACAUUGAGAAGAAAGCGUCAGGUCUUGAAAUUGAGAUGCUUUAUUCUGGUGGCAACGAGUACUGCAGACUGAUUUUGUGAGACAUGGGUUUCAAGAGGCUCCAAUCAAGCUAAUACCCAAGGCAAGACGGGAAAAAACAGGAUUUCAGUUGUUCGAACAUUUCAAUGCCUUUGCAACAUGCGGUAGGGAAACCGUAAGCAAAAGGAAUAUACGAAUGCCGGGUAUUAUUUUGAUCACAUCAGGCGUUGGUGUUGCAUUCAACAUUGCUGAAGUUCUCAAUAUAGCAUAUCCAUAUACUCUCUGAGCGCAUAGAAUCAAACUAUGACAUAAACUUAUUUAGACAAGGAAAUUAUAUCCAGUUGUCGGUCUUACUGAUCACCACUGAUGUAUUUGAUGUAUUGCUAGUUGCAAUCAAGAGAAUGGAUCUUUGAGGAGCAAAAAAAAAGUGGGGAGGCGAUUUCAUAGAAAAGAUUAAACAAAGAUGGCUUGAAAUGGGGAAGUGAUAUAACUCUCUCACUCUCCCUCUCUCUCUCUCUUUCAUCAGCAAGCUUUACAAGCAGAGGCAAAAUGAUACAGGGUAUUUUGCAGCUGCGGCCAAAUCUUCUCUCGGAUUAGUACUCCAACUAUUGUUGGGUGAAAUCAAGAGAAGGGCUCAAGUGAAGUACUUUCUCUCAUUUCUCAAAUCUCUUAAGUUCAAACAAAAGUCCCACGGAAAUUACAAGUACACUAAAACACAACAAAACUAAAUACAAUACAAACUUCAAACACAUACACUUCACGUAAUUCAAAUAGGUAAAAGAAAACACCAUGAACCAAACAAACAAUAAGACAACCAACUCCAACAGUCAUAACAAAAACUUUCCAUGCACGAGUAAAUACAAACCUCAAACACAAAAACCUCACGUGCACAGAACAGAAUUCAAAUAGGCAAAACAAAAACACGCAAACACAGCACUCAAAACAAAACCUUCACGAUCAGAAAACAAAAAAAUCGUAGAAUUAUCAAGGUUCAUAUUUCUCCUUCCAAUGCAUUUUUGCAAAUCAAGCUAUGUUUGUAUUGGAUUGGUUUGUGAUUGAUUUGUGAUUGAUUUGUGAUUGCUUUGUGAUUGCAUUUUUGCCAAACAAGCUAUUGAUCUGUCAUGUCACAGUGAAAUAUAUGAAGGAACCUGAGAGUCCAAAGAGGAAGACUUACUGGAAUUAGAAAAAUAACAAAACCUCUUAGUUAAUUUGGAAUUUAAGUUUCAAACUGGUGAAAAGACUAGUGUGAGUUUCCACUUUUCAUUGUUUACGUAUAGCAUCAAAGGGCUAAUUGGAUUUUUUGUUAAGCUACUGCGAGCUUUGGAUUGAUUUGUGAUUGCUUUUAAUGUUUUUAUUUCAAAUUUUUUACCUUGAUAGGAACACAUAGAAUCAAACUAUGACAUAAACUUUGAGACAAGAUGUGCACAAAACCAGAAUAACCCAACAGAUUGAGUUUAUAAUCUGCAGGUACUAGAUUAACAAGCAGAUUCUUAACUGCCAUUUACCAUAUCUUUACCUCCACUCUUACAUUCUUUCUCUACACUGUUAGAUAAUUAGGUGUGUAUAAUAGUCUUCACUUCAAUACAUUUACAGCAGCACUAAUGUUGUUGUUGUUAUGCAGGGAAUUAUAUCCAGUUGUCGGCCUUACUCCUUGAUCUUCUUUGUCUAUAUUUCAUUAAGCACCAGAACAAAGUUAUCUAUCUUUUAAUUUUUAACCUUUUUUGUUGUACAAACUUUUCAUGUUCUGGCAUCUACGAGCUCUAUCAUGUUAAUGCUAUUGAUUAUCUCUGUGAUUUAACCGAAGUCUAGGACAAAUUGGCUUUGCAAGCUAUGGUUGGAGUUCUUAACUAGCUUCGACAUUUUUCUCUGAUAUAUUUUGGAGGUAUGUACUACCUAACAUAUUACUUUUGCCAAAUCACAAUAAGUUGUACCCAUGGAUGUAUAUCAGAAAAAGGUUUCCUAUUUUCUACUCUACUCUACUCUUGCUAUACCCAUCUAACAAUAGGAAGCAUCUAAAUGUUUUUGGUUCUCACUAUUGGCUAUUUAUAUUGUUGGUUGAGUUGCUUGAAACUCAAUAUUGAUUCUCUGCAGAUAUUUGAACUUACGUUGUUCUUUUAUCGUAUACGUGGUUCUUUCACCAGUUAUCCUCAUGCUGAUCUCGUAUCUAUGAAAUCUAUCAUGUAUACAAUAUUGAUUCUCUCCAAAUAAUUGAACUUAAAUUGCAGGUAUUUGCAGUAGCGACCAAAGCUUCUCCCGGAUUAGUACUCUCCUUAAAAUUUUCAAUGAGUUAUUUUUGUGAUUAGUUUGAGGUUUUGCAGCAGCGGUCUUAAUUGAGUCUCAUUUUCUCUUCUCAGAACUACUGCUGGGUGAAAUCAAGAGAAGAGGAUCUUUGAACUACAAACCGCUCAAAGUGAAGUAUUUGCUCUCAUUUCUCAAAUCUCUAACUUCAUACAUAAUUCUCAUGGAAAAUACAAAGUACACUAAAACACCACGAAUCAAACAAACAAAAAAACAACAAACAGCAACAGUCAUAUCAAAAACUUUACAUGCACGAGUAAAUACAAUACAAACCCUCAACACACAAAAACCCCACGAGCAGAGAACAUAAUUCAAAUAGGCAAAACAAAAACACGCAAACACAACACUCAAAACAAAACCUUCACGAUCAGAAAACAAAACUCGUAGAAUUGUGAUAUCACGGUUCAUAUUUCUCCUUCCAAUGCAUUAGCGCAAAACAAGCCUACAUCGAAAGGAAUAUAUAGUGUCAGUGAAAUCAGUGUGCAGGAUAUUAGUUUUUGCUAUUGGCGGCAAGGGGAGACUUAGCCGCUUUAAAGGAUAUCUCUCUGAACUGGCUGCAGGUGGGUUCGUCUGCAGGGUAAGUCCUUGAGCUUACCAUGUUGCCCUGUUUUAUUUACCCCCAAACUUUCUUAUUCAUUAUUUUUUGGAGGGUGGUGUCAGAAGAGUUCACUUGUUGGAUGGUAUUAUAAGCGGAGUGGAGAUUUUAGUUAGAGAUGGAAUGGGGAUUGAUGAGAAGGUUAGCUUGUGGUUUCACUUAUCAUUGGUUCAAUGUUUAGCAUCAAAGGGUUAAUAUGUUGUGGUGUUCAGCUACUGCAAGCUCACUUGUUGGAUGGUACUUUAAGUGUAGUGAUAUUGUUGAAGAUUUUCAAUAGAGAUAGAAUGGGGAUUAUGGUGGCAAGGUAUAUACUACUGUUUUCAAUUGCGAAAAUUCGAGGUUUUAUCUUUCUUAUUGAUCCGUCAUGUCACAGUGAUAAAUAUGAAGGAACCUGAGAUAGAAAAGUAAUAAAACGUUUGGAUGAAUUGGAACUUAACUUCCGAAACUUGUGAGAAGGCACUGGUUUGACUUUUGGCCAUUGAAUUCUUUUGCUUGGGUUCGGAUUUGAUGAUAAGGUGGCUUAGAUCAGUUGGACAUGUUUUCACAUAUCACACCUUAUUCAGUUACUCUUAAAUGCAAUAAUCUUUGUUUUUUCUUGAUCAACCGAGCGUUUCCUUUCAUUUAGAAUAAGAGUGAGCUACGGUUUUUUCGAAUUUGUAAAGACUAAACCUUCCCUCGGACCAGACGAUGUAAGAUUUUUAGUAACUUUAAUACCAUCUCUCUUUUUUGGUGGGUA